rnacentral:lncRNA from 1 species
AUGAGAGUGAAUCUGCAGCACCUGUUGCCAUUGCAGCAGAGUUGCACUGCUUGGAGAAACUUCUCCUUAUGCCUAAGUAAAAGCCCACUUCUCUCCAUGACAGUAUCCUGGGACCUUGGAGGUCCAGGCCAUCCCCACAGAUCACAGUGGAGCAAGGGAGCAGCAGCACAGGGCAGCAUCUGGUUCUGCAGGGCUAUGUUGGGUACCCAAAAGAGCACCCAAAAGAGCAUCUGGAGAGACUCAGGAGGGGACAAUCUCCCAUCUCAGCCCUCCCCAUCUCUGACCGCUUCAGCUAUCAAGACUCACGUCCUCUGCUUGGUAGGAGUUAUGCCACCAGCGAUGGUGAUGCAGAGCAGUGAGAGUGCUUUGAGAAUAGUGCCUGGGGUUACCAGCCCCCGACCACGACCCGCUGACAGCACCAGCAGGCACCGGGCACUCCUGCACGACCCCAGCCUCUGCGGCACAAAGCAGAUGGAUGCUACCACGAUGCAGGAUGAAGUGACAGGCACGCAUGAAGUUUCCACCUCCCAAAACACCCCCUCAGUGCUGACUCCCUUGUCUCAGUCACUGCCAUCAAGUGAGAUAAUGAACUCCCGAGCACAGCACAGAGAGGAGCAGGCACUCAAACGAGAGCUAACAGCGGCUGCCGAAGAAAUCAUUAAAAGUAAGUACCAGACUUCAGAGAUCGUUUGCAGGAGAAGUCUAAAUCCAUACCCACAGCCUUUCUGCUCUCCUUAUUGA